rnacentral:rRNA from 1 species
CCUACGGGUGGCAGCAGUAGGGAAUUUUCGGCAAUGGGGGGAACCCUGACCGAGCAACGCCGCGUGAAGGAAGAAGGAAUUCGUUCUGUAAACUUCUGUUAUAAAGGAAGAAAGACGGAUGGAGGAAAUGACAUCCGAGUGACGGUACUUUAUGAGAAAGCCACGGCUAACUACGUGCCAGCAGCCGCGGUAAUACGUAGGUGGCAAGCGUUAUCCGGAAUUAUUGGGCGUAAAGAGGGAGCAGGCGGCAGCAAAGGUCUGUGGUGAAAGACUGAAGCUUAACUUCAGUAAGCCAUAGAAAACGGGCAGCUAGAGUGCAGGAGAGGAUCGUGGAAUUCCAUGUGUAGCGGUAAAAUGCGUAGAUAUAUGGAAGAACACCAGUGGCGAAGGCGGCCGCCUGGCCUGUUGCUGACGCUGAGGCACGAAAGCGUGGGGAGCAAAUAGGAUUAGAUACCCUUGUAGUC